rnacentral:tRNA from 1 species
AACAAAAUGGCAGAAUUAAUGUAUUAAAUUGUAAAUUUAAAAAUGAAUUUUUUUUUCUUUUGUUU